rnacentral:rRNA from 1 species
UACGUAGGGGGCAAGCGUUGUCCGGAUUUAUUGGGCGUAAAGAGCGUGUAGGCGGCCAUGCAGGUCCGCUGUGAAAACUCGAGGCUCAACCUCGAGACGUCGGUGGAAACCGCAUGGCUAGAGUCCGGAAGAGGAGAGUGGAAUUCCCGGUGUAGCGGUGAAAUGCGCAGAUAUCGGGAAGAACACCCGUGGCGAAGGCGGCUCUCUGGGACGGUACUGACGCUGAGACGCGAAAGCGUGGGGAGCGAACGAGGA